rnacentral:rRNA from 1 species
UACAGAGGUGGCAAGCGUUGUUCGGAAUUACUGGGCGUAAAGGGCGAGUAGGUGGCCAUCUAAGUCAGACGUGAAAUCCCCCGGCUUAACCUGGGAACUGCGUCUGAUACUGGACGGCUUGAGUAUGGGAGAGGAACGUAGAAUUCCAGGUGUAGCGGUGAAAUGCGUAGAUAUCAAGAGGAACACCAGUGGCGAAGGCGAGUCCCUGGACAACACCUGACACUGAGGCACGAAAGCUAGGGGAGCAAACAGG